rnacentral:rRNA from 1 species
AGAUUGAACGCUGGCGGCAGGCCUAACACAUGCAAGUCGAGCGGCAGCACGGGUACUUGUACCUGGUGGCGAGCGGCGGACGGGUGAGUAAUGCCUAGGAAUCUGCCUGAUAGUGGGGGAUAACGUUCGGAAACGGACGCUAAUACCGCAUACGUCCUACGGGAGAAAGUGGGGGAUCUUCGGACCUCACGCUAUCAGAUGAGCCUAGGUCGGAUUAGCUAGUUGGAGGUAAAGGCCUACCAAGGCUACGAUCCGUAACUGGUCUGAGAGGAUGAUCAGUCACACUGGAACUGAGACACGGGUCCAGACUCCUACGGGA